rnacentral:rRNA from 1 species
GAUGAACGCUGGCGGCGUGCCUAAUACAUGCAAGUCGAGCGAACGGACGAGAAGCUUGCUUCUCUGAUGUUAGCGGCGGACGGGUGAGUAACACGUGGAUAACCUACCUAUAAGACUGGGAUAACUUCGGGAAACCGUAGCUAAUACCGGAUAAUAUUUUGAACCGCAUGGUUCAAAAGUGAAAGACGGUCUUGCUGUCACUUAUAGAUGGAUCCGCGCUGCAUUAGCUAGUUGGUAAGGUAACGGCUUACCAAGGCAACGAUGCAUAGCCGACCUGAGAGGGUGAUCGGCCACACUGGAACUGAGACACGGUCCAGACUCCUACGGGAGGCAGCAGUAGAGAAUCUUCCGCAAUGGGCGAAAGCCUGACGGAGCAACGCCGCGUGAGUGAUGAAGGUCUUCGGAUCGUAAAACUCUGUUAUUAGGGAAGAACAUAUGUGUAAGUAACUGUGCACAUCUUGACGGUACUUAAUCAGAAAGCCACGGCUAACUACG